ACGAAGGGGGCUAGCGUUGUUCGGAAUUACUGGGCGUAAAGCGCGCGUAGGCGGUUUUGCAAGCCAGAGGUGAAAUGCCUGAGCUUAACUUAGGAAUUGCCUUUGGGACUGUGAGGCUUUGAGGACGAGAGAGGUGAGUGGAAUUCCCAGUGUAGAGGUGAAAUUCGUAGAUAUUGGGAAGAACACCGGUGGCGAAGGCGGCUCACUGGCUCGUUUCUGACGCUGUAGCGCGAAAGCGUGGGGAUCAAACAGGAUUAGAUACCCUGGUAGUCCACGCUGUAAACGAUGAGUGCUAGGCGUUGGCACGCUUGCGUGUCAGUGCCGCAGCUAACGCGUGAAGCACUCCGCCUGGGGAGUACGGUCGCAAGAUUA
rnacentral:rRNA from 1 species